rnacentral:misc_RNA from 1 species
AUGUGGCUGGCUUGGUC